rnacentral:rRNA from 1 species
GAGUUUGAUCAUGGCUCAGAUUGAACGCUGGCGGCAUGCCUUACACAUGCAAGUCGAACGGUAACAGGUCUUUUCGGGAUGCUGACGAGUGGCGAACGGGUGAGUAAUACAUCGGAACGUGCCUAGUAGUGGGGGAGUAACUACUCGAAAGAGUGGCUAAUACCGCAUGAGAUCUAUGGAUGAAAGCAGGGGACCUUCGGGCCUUGUGCUACUAGAGCGGCCGAUGGCAGAUUAGGUAGUUGGUGGGAUAAAAGCUUACCAAGCCUACGAUCUGUAGCUGGUCUGAGAGGACGAUCAGCCACACUGGGACUGAGACACGGCCUAGACUCCUACGGGAGGCAGCAGUGGGGAAUUUUGGACAAUGGCGCAAGCCUGAUCCAGCAAUGCCGCGUGCAGGAUGAAGG